CAUACUAACUAUUCGCCAGAAUACUACAAGCAAAACGCUUGAAACUCAAAGGACUUGGUGGUGUCCCAUAUCACCCUAGAGGAGCCUGUCCUAUAAUCGAUACUCCACGUUAAACCUUACCAUCUUUGGUCACUCCAGCCUAUAUACCGCCGUCGCAAGCCUACCCUAUGAAGGCCAUACAGUAGGCAAAACUGCCCACACAAAAACGUCAGGUCAAGGUGUAGCUUAUAAGACGGAAGAGAUGGGCUACAUUUUCUAACUUAGAAAAUACGAACAAUUCAAUGAAAUCUUGUAUUAGAAGGAGGAUUUAGCAGUAAAAUAUAAAAGAAAAAUAAUUUUAAACUAGCCCUGGGACGCGCACACACCGCCCGUCACCCUCAUCAAUAACAUAUACAACUAACAUAUACCGUGAAUCUCCCACAGAUGAGGCAAGUCGUAACAUGGUAAGCGUACUGGAAAGUGCGCUUGGAUUAACAAAAAGUAGCUUAAAAUAAAGCAUUCAGCUUACAAUUGAAAAAUGUUAUUUACCCAACCUUUUUGAGCCUUAACCUUAAGCCCACUACCCCCUCCCACUCAAUUAAACAAACAAAACAAACCAUUUGACCAGAAUAGUAUCUGAGAGAGAAC
rnacentral:rRNA from 1 species